CCACGCCGUAAACAAUGUCAAACUAGCCGUUGGGACUCUUGAAGUUUAGUGGCGCAGCUAACGCAUUAAGUUGACCGCCUGGGGAGUACGGCCGCAAGGUUAAAACUCAAAUGAAUUGACGGGGGCCCGCACAAGCGGUGGAGCAUGUGGUUUAAUUCGACGCAACGCGAAGAACCUUACCUGGCCUUGACAUGCAGAGAACUUUCCAGAGAUGGAUUGGUGCCUUCGGGAACUCUGACGCAGGUGCUGCAUGGCCGUCGUCAGCUCGUGUCGUGAGAUGUUGGGUUAAGUCCCGUAACAAGCGCAACCCCUAUCCCUAGUUGCUAGCAGUUCGGCUGAGAACUCUAGGGAGACUGCCGGUGACAAACCGGAGGAAGGUGGGGAUGACGUCAGGUCAUCAUGGCCCUUACGGCCAGGGCUACACACGUGCUACAAUGGUGCGUACAGAGGGUUGCAAACCCGCGAGGGGGAGCCAAUCUCACAAAACGCAUCGUAGUCCGGAUCGGAGUCUGCAACUCGACUCCGUGAAGUCGGAAUCGCUAGUAAUCGUGAAUCAGAAUGUCACGGUGAAUACGUUCCCGGGCCUUGUACACACCGCCCGUCACACCAUGGGAGUGGAUUGCACCAGAAGUGGUUAGUCUAACCUUCGGGAGGACGAUCACCACGGUGUGGUUCAUGACUGGGGUGAAGUCGUAACAAGGUAGCCGUAGGGGAACCUGCGGCUGGAUGGUGUUCCUUCCUAUAUCUACGCAUUUC
rnacentral:rRNA from 1 species